UAGAGUAACUGCUGCCGGAGUGACGGUACCUGAGAAGAAAGCCCCGGCUAACUACGUGCCAGCAGCCGCGGUAAUACGUAGGGGGCAAGCGUUGUCCGGAAUUAUUGGGCGUAAAGCGCGCGCAGGCGGCUAUUUAAGUCUGGUGUUUAAACCUUGGGCUCAACCUGGGGUCGCACUGGAAACUGGGUGGCUUGAGUACAGAAGAGGAAAGUGGAAUUCCACGUGUAGCGGUGAAAUGCGUAGAGAUGUGGAGGAACACCAGUGGCGAAGGCGACUUUCUGGGCUGUAACUGACGCUGAGGCGCGAAAGCGUGGGGAGCAAACAGGAUUAGAUACCCUGGUAGUCCACGCCGUAAACGAUGAGUGCUAGGUGUUAGGGGUUUCGAUACCCUUGGUGCCGAAGUUAACACAGUAAGCACUCCGC
rnacentral:rRNA from 1 species